ACCUCUUCUUCAUGUUUUUUUUUUUUUAAUCCUCCGUGUCCUCCUUGGCUACUACUAGCUUUAACUGUAGUCCGUUCAUCUUCAAAAUAAAAACACAAACUGUUAGUGAAAAUGUAUGUGUGGUGUUAAGCACAGAAGACCUAUUUAAGUAUUUGUAUUCUUAUAUUGGAAGUGGAAAAAUAGAGCCACGAAACAUACAAAAGAAUCUGUACCAUGAUAUAUUCUAUUGUAGUUAUUGAUCCAGUGAACCUGAAAGAGUAGAAAAAGUAAGCUGGUCUUUUACACACAACAUGAAAGGAUUUCAAAGAAGUACAUUGUUUAUGUGAUUCCAAAGAAAAGAGAUUAAUCUAUCCUCAACAGCACUCAAGUCCAGGCAUGUAGCUAGUUGUUAGGGCAAAAAAACAGGAAGUUUUAGUAUUAGUGGAAUUUUGCGUUUUCCCAAAGUAAAAUAGUCAUGACAUAUUUACCUGCAGAGCAAAACACUGGUGCAGGUUACUAGAGGCCAUGGCAGCAGAAACAAGUGGUUUUAGUGUUACUGACUGAGUCAUUUAGAAAUUAAUAUAGUUCUUGAUUAACAUGACAUAAAUCAACCUAGGAUAAUUCUGUUAUUAAUCAUUCUACAUUCCAAGGUCAGUGGCUGGAUAGAAUUGUUUUUAAAUGGCUUACAUGACUUGAGCGGCUGCUAUGUGGGGAGAGAGCUACAUGCUGGCAAUGUCGAGUGCCCAGAGUGUGGGAAAACUACAGAUGCAUGGCAAUGAAAGCAUACGGCACACACUAAUGCCACGUGGAGCUGAUUGUGUGUUGCCCCUCUGCAAUAUGAUUGGCUAUUAACCUGUUGUCGUCAUCUGAUCGGCUAGUCAGAAGUUAGCUAGCAUUUCUUGUAAAGAAGAUGGGGUCACCCUAAACAAUGUGGAUUAUAUUCUACAAAACAACUUCAAAAGUCUUAAUUUUGAAGGAAAAUUGAGAUAAAACACGUAGCUAAGGUUGUUAUAAACCAAACCGCUGGUAAAAACAAUAAUCAGAUUUAGGGUGGAGUGGUUCUCCAGAAAAAAAUGCUAGUUUAACGUUAGAGAAGCGUGUGUUAUUCGGAGAAGAUGGUACCCGGUCAACAACAGGCUUUCAAGAUCGCAGGACAACGCGGAAAAUGGGGCUAAAACAUAGCAAACGUUACCCAACUUGACAGCGCAUACAAACAGAGCUGUAUAACCGCAAAUUGAGAAGAACAGAUCCUGGCAUCCGGCAUGAUACCACGGCGAUUAUCUCCUGUGAUCUUUAAUAACAUCCCAGAGAGGAAGACUGAGUGCAAUAAGCUGCAUCUGCUGUAACUGGCCCUGGCAGAACAAGAUGUCGAGUCUCUCCCCGAGCUGCUCCACCUUACUCCUGUACCUGCCUGCGAGGCUCCACCACGGCUCUGUGUGUUUGUCGACUUAAUGCUGGAACAAGGCUCUAAUCUGCCAUUAAGACAGGGGGAGAGAGAGGCUUACUGGUGUUUCUCUUACAAAUCCACUUCCAGAAAACCCCCGUCAGAGAUGCUGCACUGCAUCCCAAAGGAUUAGUGACGGGACUAGCACCGAGAGGAGAGGAGAGGAGAGAAGAUGAGAGGAGAGCAGAGGAGAGGAGAGGAUCAUAAAAGGUCAAAAAGCAAUGAUGUGAUGAAGGAAAGGUGCAGAUAAAAAGAGGUGAAUGGAUAGAGGGCUGCAGGGACAGCCAAACACAGGCAGACAGGACACCUACAGUAGGUGAGAAAAUGAAAUGCGUGUCUGUGUGUACAGACAUUGCAUUUGUGUAUGCUUACACGGGAACACGCAAGAGACGGAAGUGAAAAGGAAAAUGACACACGAACGCAGGGGUGUAGGAGCAAGAGAACGAGGACAAAAGGAAGAAAGAGGUGCUGGUGCUGUGUGGGUGUGCUGGUUGUAGAAUGAGGGGUUUUGGGCUGUUACAUUUAAUAUCUGGUAUCCACACAGCGUUUAAAUGAUGUUGUGUGCAAAUAUCAGUUACCGACAGGUCCCCGCUCUGCGUCUUAACCCCUUUCAACCUGUUCAAAUACACAACAGAUUUACUCCUGCGUGCUCCCUCCAUCCUCCUUUCUUGGCUCAGCCUUUGCUUUAAUGAUAGCCAGACAGUACAGCCCUCCUAGUGUCACUGUGAUGCAGCCCAGGCAUGACUAACACCUUUCUGAAGGCUGUCCAUCUGUGGUGGGAACACCGGAGAGCCAGAGCAGGGGUCUGAAAUGGAGCAGUCCUGACAGGCAGAUGGCUCAGCUUCUCUGCCAGGACUGUGCCCGGUUCCCUCCACCCACGCAACUCACCCCCUCUUGGCUCAGCCCAUCUGUGGACUGGCCUUGAGGGGAAUGAACGUGGCCCACCUGGGCUGAUGGGGUUGCAGUGUCCAUUUUGUUCUGAGUCAGAGGUCCAUCAGAGCCUAAAACACACUUAGCGAAGGAGCAACACACAAACGCUCAUCCACAGAGCUGCCCCUCUAAAGGUAAGUGAAGGGAUUUUUUUCUUCUUCUCCGCCAAAGACUCCCGGCAUUUCCGCGGGCAGUUGCCAUGGCUGCGGUAAAGUAAGCGACCACCUGUGGUCCCCCCCCAUCUGAUGUAAAAGAAGAGAAAGGCAAAAAGAGGCAAAUCAACAGACUGAUUGACCCAGAGUACCCUGGAAUAAAUCCAACAUUUCCGAACCCUCUGAUGUUUCAGGACAUUCACGCAGGCAGAUAAAAACAUCUUGAUUCAGCAGACAGGAAAGUCUUUCGUGAGCAUGGGCAGCAGAUAUUAGCCCGGGUCAGAGCAGCCUGAACCCCCCCAAAGCAACUGGCUCCACAGAUUCCUCUCCUGCUGGACAUCAAUCUUCAGAGCUGCUGUCUAGGCAAAGAGCAGAUUUGAUUUCUCCACUGAACAGAACUCAACCCUUGACCUUGAGUUGCUAUGGUUACUGUAAAGCGGGUGGUAGCAGUAGCUGCAGCCCUGCAGGAUGCAGAGCCGCUGUGAACAUUAUAGGAAUAGAUAUCAAUUUCUACAAGCCCCUCGCAAAGUGUAAAAGAAUGUAGUCGGGAAUCCCGCCCCUGUCAAUAAAUUAACUAUUUAUGUCUGGCCUUGAACAAGGUGACUGUGUGUAAUACAUGUCAGCACACUGUGCAGCGGGAUGCUCGGAGUCUCAGCAGAGGUGGAUCCUGUUUAAAAACACAGUCAUGUCUGAGGACUGUGUGUGUGUGUGUGUGUGUGUGUGUGCAUGUGUGUGUACGUGUGUGUCCGUACAUGUGUCCAAGCAUGUGAAUAUGUGUUGACUCGCUGCCAGUGUGAGUUCCUCGUGCCAGCACCGCAGUCUGGUGAGGCAGAGCGGCACGUCGGCUGCACAGCUGCGUGCGGGUAGCUCCCAUUGGUCGAGGUUAACGAGGUAGAGAGCACAUCUGCAUUGGAGCAGGCCACGGCUGAGUGAGGCCAAAGAAGAAGCUGCCAUGCUCUCUCUCUCUCUCUCUCUCUCUCUCUCUCUCUCUCUCU